AGCGCGCGUCUGCGCACUAAGCUGCCCGCCCUCCGGAAGCGCGGCGCCGGGCUCGCCACGUCUGCCCCAGCACAUCCUCCUGGUCCCGCCGUGGACGGCUCAGCUGCUUCAGCCGGUGGAGGGCUCAGGACCCCGGGACUGGACCGAGAGCGUCAUGGGCUGCACGGCCUCGCGCUCCGCCUCCACGCUGCUCCUGCUGCUGCUGCUGCUGCUCCGGGCCGAGAGACCCCAGGGUGCAGAGCUCACCUUCGAGCUGCCGGACAACGCCAAGCAGUGCUUCCACGAGGAGGUGGAGCAGGGCGUGAAGUUCUCCCUGGACUACCAGGUCAUCACUGGAGGCCAUUACGACGUGGACUGCUAUGUGGAGGACCCCCUGGGGAACGCCAUCUACAGGGAGACCAAGAAGCAGUACGACAGCUUCACGCACCGCGCCGAGGUCAAGGGUGUGUACCAGUUCUGCUUCAGCAAUGAGUUCUCCACCUUCUCUCACAAGACCGUCUACUUCGACUUCCAGGUGGGCGAUGAGCCCCCCAUCCUCCCAGACAUGGGGAACCGAGUCACAGCUCUCACCCAGAUGGAGUCUGCCUGUGUGACCAUUCAUGAGGCUUUGAGGACGGUGAUCGACUCCCAGACACAUUACCGGCUCCGGGGGGCCCAGGACCCGGCCCGAGCCGAAGACCUGAACAGCCGAGUGUCUUACUGGUCUGUGGGCGAGACGAUUGCCCUGUUCGUGGUCAGCUUCAGCCAGGUGCUGCUGCUGAAAAGCUUCUUCACAGAGAAACGGCCUGUCAGCAGGCCCGUCCACUCCUAGCUGAGGCGUCCUGCUCUGGGCCCUGGGCCCUUGUACCUAGGCUGGAGCAGCCCUCUUGGGCCUCCUGCCCAGCUGAGUGGAGGCGGGGUUGCAGGGUGGAGAGUGCUGGGUGAUGGGCUGGACUGACAGCCCCCUUGCCUCUGCACAAAUGCCUGAUCGAUCCCGCACCCCGGUGGCCGAAGCCCAUGGAACCCAGUCACCCGAAGGCAUUCGAUUACGUUCUGUAUGUCACUCUGAAAGCGUGUACGGGCAGGCCAGACACGGGCCGCUAUGGAAGGGCAGGCAGGUGUAAAGCCAUUGGUAGGACCCCGAGGCCCAGGCCUCCGGGCAGCUCUGGGCCCUGGUUUGCUCCCUGGUGCCCGGAUCACUUGAUUCUGGCCUUUCCCCUGGGGCGCCGUCUGCCUGAGGAGCACUGCGUGGCUUUGCAGAUCCACUCGUCCUCCACACUGACAGCAUCGGCCAUGCAGGACCAGCAUGGUGACGGCGUGCCCUUGGGCAGCUGCGUGCCUCCAGCGAGGGGGGCUCUGGCUAAUAAAAUCCGUGUGAGCACCCUGGA